rnacentral:sRNA from 1 species
GAUCAUACUUUCUAUGGAUAUACUGCCACAAAAUACAGGAAUACGUAUCAUCUUUAGCCACUGCUACAGAUCACUGACAAAUUAUCUGCCUGCUUUCCGAGACUCAAGUUCAAAUUCUAUAUCUGGGUAAAGAACAUUAUUAACAAAACAAAUCUAAUUUUUAAAGGAAC